GUGAAUUUAGUCUUAGAUUUCCUUCCACACAUUUUCAAUCCGUGUACUCAUAUAGCCUCAUCAUAUUAGAGCCCAAACAUCCUUUCCCCCCUCUUUUACAUUCUAUAAUCUUGAUUAAUAGCAUUGUAUUAAAUAAUACUAUAUCUUUUAUCCAAAUUACAUCUAUAUCAUGUUUCUAAAUAGGAUAGAAUUAAUUACUUGGUUACUUGGGGGACAGCAAAGAGGAGGGAUACAGAAGACGAGAAAAGUCUCUUUUUCUCCCUUUGCCUCAAUUCCGAUAGUUUCCUUCUAUUUUGGAUGUGCCUCUAGCCAUUUGUGGCCUUCUUCAGCCGUAUGCAUGGUAAAUGGCUGACUUUCAUGCCAAAAAAAUUUGGUAGGGAAACCCCAGGUAUAUUUAAUUUGUCUAGAUCUCAGUAUUGUGUUUAAGUCCUUAAAGGCAUAUCUACUUUUCCUUGUGCCAUUGGAUAGGUCUUGAAAAAAGAGCAGGUUUUUAAGAUUUUCCCUCAUUGGAAUUAAAACUUCUUGAGGCUUGGUAGAUUUUUUUUUUUUGCCAGAUAAAGAAUGCUGAGAAAUGAACAAUUUCUGAGAUUACCUUAGGCUUUACUGUUCUGUGUGCAUGUUCUAUUAGGUCUUCCUUUUGUGCUACUGAGACUCCCAUAUUUUAAAAAGAUCCAAUAAACAUUCUAAUAAUAAAUAGGAAUCUAUAUUCUCAUUUAUUCCUCUAAUUCUUGCGCAACUAACGUCUCAAAUCCUACAGACUGACAUUCCACUAGAUCCAUGGAUCUGGCUUCUGUCCAAGCCCUACGAGGAAACACUGAGAGCUCAAAACAAACUCAUCGCUAAAAUCGCACUAACCACUAGGAAAACCAUAGCUGCAAAAUGGGGUAGCCCAGAUAUCCCCUCAAUGGUCACGGUGAAGCAAAAGAUAAAUGAGACUUGGGAAAUGGACAACCUUUCAGCACUCAUCCAUGAUAAUAAAACUUUCCACAAAUUCUGGGAUGCCUGGCUCUUCAAAUUCUUCCUCCCCACAUGAAAGGAUUGCUAUGGCGCAAGGCAAGGUCACUGAGGAACACAAAUCUUUUCCCCCCCCCCCCUUCUCUAAACCAUUCUGAUAUUUCACAACGUACACUCGACACUGUCUGUAUUCCACCUAUCAAUCUUACCAUACUCCCCCCAAUGUUUCAAGGGAUGCACCCAUCACACCUUAUGGCCGUAAACUCCUCCAUGACAUAGUUGAAGGCCCAGUACGCAUCUCAUACGCCGUGCAAGCAGGAGGGGACACCUGGUCACCCCCUGGGCUUGCACAGAAAGGCCUACCCCCUCUCACACUACAGCCACGGAUGACAAUGUACUCACCGAGGCACCACAGACUACAGUGAUGCCAUCACAAUAGCUACAGAUCUUAACGACGGGGUCACGAAUGGUUAUGAAUCCUGUAACAUACCGGUAUUGAUUAACACCUGUACAAGAAUUGCAGACGAAAGUCAAAGUGAUAUACGGGUUUCCCCAUUGUGCCGCCUUCUUUCUGUUUUCCCUCCCCACCUAUUAUAGACCACAAAAAAGGAAGACAACCUGACUAAUGUAGUAAUUUUACCCAACAUGUACAUAGGUUAAAAUAUGUUGAAACCACUGAUGAAACUCCUGUGUACUUGUACAAUCUGUAUAAAUGUCACAAUGAAACGAUGUAUGUGUUAUACUCUUUUACCCCCAGAUUCUUCUUUCUGUACCACUCCCCC